rnacentral:misc_RNA from 1 species
GGGAUCUCGGAACCUACAUGAUCCGAGGUCACCUUUAAAAAUUGGGGGUUUAGCGGCUGGAGCACGCCGGGACGAUCCGAACGAGGUUCGCGUUUUACCGCGUUUUACUGCGCUCAGUGUACCGACGAGCCCGCCGAUGAACUUGGGGGCCCCGGGCCCCCCCGCCUCCCGCCCCCCCCCCCCCAAAGGCACCCCCGGCACCUGGGAUCCACCAAACCAGGCUCCCCCCAGGCGCAAGGCCGCCGGGGCCAUGUCCCCCGAGCCCGCCAAACCCCCGUCCACACCCCCCACCCCCCUUUCCCGCGGUGCCCCCCCCACACUCGCCACCCCGGCACUCCACAAACCCACCCAUCCCUCCGCCCUCCCCACGCGCGGCCCCGCCGGCCAACCCACCACCCCCCUGCCCCCCCCGGCCCUACCCCCCCAAAGCACAACCCCAAACGCUCGACCACCGCACAAGUCAGACUACCCCCCGAACGGGCGCACCACGCACCCGCCGGGAAGGAUCAUUACUGAGUUGAAAAACUCCACCCUGUGAACAUACCUCUGUCGUUGCUUCGGCGGGCACGCCCGCCGGAGGUUCAAAACUCUUAUUUUUUCCAGUAUCUCUGAGCCUGAAAGACAAAUAAUCAAAACUUUCAACAACGGAUCUCUUGGUUCUGGCAUCGAUGAAGAACGCAGCGAAAUGCCGAUAAGUAAUGGUGAAUUGCAGAAAUUCAAUGAAAUCCACCAAUCUUUGAAACCCCAUUGCGCCCGCCGUUAUUCCGGCGGGCAUGCCGGUUCAGCGUCCUUUCCCCCAGCCCGCUUGGUGGGUUGGGGGGGGCCCCCCC